rnacentral:rRNA from 1 species
UACGUAGGGUGCGAGCGUUAAUCGGAAUUACUGGGCGUAAAGCGUGCGCAGGCGGUUUUGUAAGCCAGAUGUGAAAGCCCCAGGCUUAACCUGGGAAUGGCAUUUGGGACUGCAAGGCUUGAGUGCGGCAGAGGAGACUGGAAUUCCUGGUGUAGCAGUGAAAUGCGUAGAUAUCAGGAGGAAUACCGAUGGCGAAGGCAGGUCUCUGGGCUGACACUGACGCUCAUGCACGAAAGCGUGGGGAGCAAACAGG